GAGGGGUGUCCCUCCCAGAGAACAAGACCUCUCUGUGUAGUAGCAUGGACCUCUUGGUACAGGUGGGGGCGGCGAUAGGAGCAUUCAUUAGAAAGGUAGCUAGUACCUGUAAUGGAUUACAUUUAGAAAGUAACCUUCCCAACCCUGUUGAUGGCUGAAUGUGUGUAGGAGCACCAGUGGCCCCUGGAUGGAGUGAAGGCAAGACCAGACUUGUUCUAUAAGACCACCAACAAAGUCCUAAAUGCAAACUUCUACCGUUCUCUGGGGCAACCUCUGCAUGUGAAGCAGGUCGUAAUGUGGUGGUGACACUUCGCUGUAACUCGGAUAGGAGCUCCCAAGGAGAACUCACAGUACCCAGUCAGUGUCCGGCUGGGAGAUGUGACGGCUGUACCUCGAGGGCGUGUCCUCAGUGUACCACCACGGACUACCACCAGAUAGAGACAGCCUGCAAGGGAGGUGUGUGCGUGUGUUAUACUUACCAUUCUCUAUGUUCAGUUAUAAACCGGGUGGUUCGAGCCCUGAAUGCUGAUUGGCUGAAAGCUGUGGU